rnacentral:rRNA from 3 species
UAAGGUGGUUAUGGCAACGGGGCUCACCUCUUCCCAUUCCGAACAGAGAAGUUAAGCCCGUUAGCGCAGAUGGUACUGCUAUUGUGGGAGAGUAUGUCACCGCCUUGU